AGGAAAUAACACAGGAGGUAACAGAGGAAGAAGAUAGCAGAUAUUACGUGCCUCUUGGAAAUGAAGAUAUUUCGUACUCCCUCGUUCUACUUAUGUCGCCGGAAUAUUAAAUUACAUAAAAGAGAAAAAUAUUAUCCUCCCACGCCCGAUCAUGUAAACAACUGUAGUAUAAACAGGCGGUGAGCGUCUUACACGCGAGAAGAAAACAUGCCGACGUAAGAAGAAUCCUCACAAAAUUCCAUCGGCGAACAACAUCAGCAGCAGUAGCAGCAGCAGCAGCAACAUCAAU